rnacentral:rRNA from 1 species
UACGUAGGUGGCAAGCGUUAUCCGGAUUUAUUGGGCGUAAAGGGAACGCAAGCGGUCUUUUAAGUCUGAUGUGAAAGCCUUCGGCUUAACCGGAGUAGUGCAUUGGAAACUGGGAGACUUGAGUGCAGAAGAGGAGAGUGGAACUCCAUGUGUAGCGGUGAAAUGCGUAGAUAUAUGGAAGAACACCAGUGGCGAAAGCGGCUCUCUGGUCUGUAACUGACGCUGAGGUUCGAAAGCGUGGGUAGCAAACAGG